GUGAAUCAUCGAAUCUUUGAACGCGAAUGGCACUGCUAUGCAAGUAGCAGUAUGUCUGUUUGAGAAUCGCAAAACAAGAUCAACUCUAGUUGAGAGUUGGGAGUGACCUUAUGACCUGUAGGUUAUUUGGUCUGAAUAUAUCGAGUUGAUGAGCUUCCCAGCGCGGCUCAAUGUGUGCUAGCGAGACAGUCGUCCCGAUCUCACAUUAUCGCUGCGUUGCAGAGUUCUGAUCACAGCUCGCUAAACCCACAAUCAAAUACGAUCUCAAAUCAGGCAAGAUUACCCGCUGAACUUAAGCAUAUCAAUAAGCGGAGGA
rnacentral:misc_RNA from 1 species